rnacentral:misc_RNA from 1 species
UUUCCGUAGGUGAACCUGCGGAAGGAUCAUUAUUGGAUUUUGAAACUUCAGGCUGCUGCUGGCUCUCCUCGGAGGGCAUGUCCACGCUUGUUGUCCAUUAUUUCUCCCACUGUGCACAAAUUGUAGACCUUUCAGUAGGCCUAUGUUGUUUUUCACAAUCUCUGAAUGGAAUAGAAUGGUUUUGAAUCUUGGGAAAUACAAUACAACUUUCAGCAACGGAUCUCUUGGCUCUC